UCCCCUACGGGAGGCAGCAGUGAGGAAUAUUGGUCAAUGGCCGAGAGGCUGAACCAGCCAAGUCGCGUGAGGGAAGAAUGUCCUAAGGAUUGUAAACCUCUUUUGUCGGGGAGCAAAGAGAGUCACGUGUGACUCAUUGAGAGUACCCGAAGAAAAAGCAUCGGCUAACUCCGUGCCAGCAGCCGCGGUAAUACGGAGGAUGCGAGCGUUAUCCGGAUUUAUUGGGUUUAAAGGGUGCGCAGGCGGAGGUGCAAGUCAGCGGUCAAAUUGCGGGGCUCAACCCCGUACUGCCGUUGAAACUGCAU
rnacentral:rRNA from 1 species